rnacentral:rRNA from 1 species
CCUACGGGGAGCAGCAGUAGGGAAUCUUUCACAAUGGGCGAAAGCCUGAUGGAGCAACGCCGCGCGCAGGAUGAAGGCCUUCGGGUUGUAAACUGCUUUUAUAAGCGAGAAAUAUGAUGGUAACUUAUGAAUAAGGAUCGGCUAACUACGUGCCAGCAGCCGCGGUCAUACGUAGGAUCCGAGCAUUAUCCGGAGUGACUGGGUGUAAAGAGUUGCGUAGGUGGCAUAAUAAGUAGCUAGUGAAAUCUGGUGGCUCAACCAUUCAGACUAUUAGCUAAACUGUUAAGCUCGAGACCGUUAGGGGUAACUGGAAUUUCUAGUGUAGGAGUGAAAUCCGUAGAUAUUAGAAGGAACACCAAUAGCGUAGGCAGGUUGCUGGGACGGUUCUGACACUAAGGCACGAAAGCGUAGGGAGCAAACGGGAUUAGAUACCCUAGUAGUC